rnacentral:rRNA from 1 species
CCUACGGGAGGCAGCGGUAAGGAAUAUUGGUCAAUGGGCGGAAGCCUGAACCAGCCAUGCCGCGUGCAGGAAGACGGCCCUACGGGUUGUAAACUGCUUUUGCAGGGGAAUAAACCCAGUUACGUGUAACUGGCUGAAUGUACUCUGAGAAUAAGGAUCGGCUAACUCCGUGCCAGCAGCCGCGGUAAUACGGAGGAUCCAAGCGUUAUCCGGAUUUAUUGGGUUUAAAGGGUGCGUAGGCGGCCUAUUAAGUCAGGGGUGAAAGACGGUAGCUUAACUAUCGCAGUGCCUUUGAUACUGAUGGGCUUGAAUGGACUAGAGGUAGGCGGAAUGUGACAAGUAGCGGUGAAAUGCAUAGAUAUGUCACAGAACACCAAUUGCGAAGGCAGCUUACUAUGGUUUAAUUGACGCUGAGGCACGAAAGCGUGGGGAUCAAACAGGAUUAGAUACCCUGGUAGUCCACGCCCUAAACGAUGAACACUCGAUGUUAGCGAUAUACAGUUAGCGUCUAAGCGAAAGCGUUAAGUGUUCCACCUGGGGAGUACGCCCGCAAGGGUGAAACUCAAAGGAAUUGACCGGNGNGAGACGNGCGAGACGACGACGAGGGAGGAGG